rnacentral:tmRNA from 1 species
GGGGUCGCGCUGGAUUUGACGGGGAAUUGUCAAACUUAGAUGGCAGCAAGGUGAUGGCUUACAUCAAACAAAAAUAACUGACAACAGUUACAUUUAUGCGAAACCCGCUACCCGGGUUUCCUAUGCUUGCGCUUAAUCAGUAGCCUACGGGUUUCUCACCAGAGACGUGAGAGCAGCACGCUUACCCUUUGUUUCGUAUCUUACAAAGGAGUAGGUGUCAGACUAAGAUACUAAGCCUGGUUCUCGGCUUAAAAAUCAGGACGAAAACCUCAUUAGCCUCGCUUCCGUUUCUUGCCGAAAUCUCAUACGGAAGUUAAAUCUUGAUUUCGGAUAAACUGUAGGCAUCUUUGGGCGGCAUUCUGCGGACAGGGGUUCGACUCCCCUCGGCUCCACCA